UGGGGGAUAUUGCACAAUGGGGGAAACCCUGAUGCAGCAAUGCCGCGUGAGGGAAGAAGGUCUUCGGAUUGUAAACCUAAGUGGCCAGGGACGAAAGAAAUGACGGUACCUGGAGAGCAAGCUCCGGCUAACUACGUGCCAGCAGCCGCGGUAAUACGUAGGGAGCGAGCGUUGUCCGGAUUUACUGGGUGUAAAGGGUGCGUAGGCGGGGAAGCAAGUCAGAUGUGAAAUCCCGGGGCUCAACCCCGGGGCUGCAUUUGAAACUGUUUAUCUUGAGUGAAGUAGAGGCAGGCGGAAUUCCUAGUGUAGCGGUGAAAUGCGUAGAUAUUAGGAGGAACACCAGUGGCGAAGGCGGCCUGCUGGGCUUUAACUGACGCUGAGGCACGAAAGCAUGGGGAGC
rnacentral:rRNA from 1 species